rnacentral:lncRNA from 1 species
CUUAGCCUGCUAGGUUUAUAACCUGAUUCAGAUCACCGGCACUUAGUCUGCUAGGUUUAUAACCUGAUUCAGAUCACCAGCACUUAGCCUGCUAGACGUAUAGUCUGAAUAAUUUCACUGGCAAUAAAUCCGAUUGGUACUGAGCUUUAACAAAAGAAUCUCAAUUCACAGAAGUUGUAUCUCAUAUUUGUAUAUAAAAUCCACAUAAAAUCCAGCUCAAUAUUCAUAACUUAUAUCUUUAAAACACAUGGAUAUAUAUAUAAAUCCCAAU